GGGGCUCCAUGCACAGCUCUCCCUGGGAACAGGUCUUCUCCUUGCCCUGUCUUAAUCUGGGGAUAGGUGUCUGGGCGUCCCCAGCGAGACCCCUCUCUGCUGCUGACAGGGCUCCCAGGAGGAACAACAGUGGCACCCCAGAGAGGUGUGGGGGUGCUGAGAGAAUUGGGUCAGCAGUGGGGGCCUCACACUCUGGCCCCUCACUCCCUGUGCCUGAGCAAUUCAUCAGGUGCUGUCUUUCUUAGACGGACAGCUGUGUGCAAUUGUGUUCUGUUUCUGACUUUGGGUUUAGUGACAUCAGUAAGCCUGAAUGGUCUCCCCGGCGCACAAUCCUUCUGGUUCACAAAAUCAGUCAAACACACAGGCACCAGGGAGCUCUUGAACCAGAGAGUCCGGUACUUUCAUUUUGUCCUAAAGGUACAGAUUGUUAUCAUUUUCAUUUUUUUUCAAGGCAACAGUGAGCAAGGAUUUUGUUAUCAUUUUCAAACUGACACAUUUACCACACUGACAAUAUUCUCUGACCCAGCACAGACGUUCAUAACAAAAGCAUCAGUGACAUAGUUACACAUGUUAAAACAUUGAAAACCACUAUUCUAAUAAACCACAGUUAAAGAAGAAGUCAUAUUGGAAAUUAAAAUACCUAGAAAUGAUUAAAACUAAGAUACUACUAUCAAAACUAUUGGGCUGCAGUAAAAGCUGUACCUGAGAAAAAUCUAACCCUAUAUAUUUGCAUUGGGAAAUAAGAAAGGUUAAAUUCUUUUUUUCUCUGAGAUUGAGUCUUGUUCUGUUGCCCAGGCUGGAGUGCAGUGACGUGAUCUUGGCUCACUGCAACUUCUGUCUCCCGGGCUCAAGUGAUUCUCCUGUCUCAGCUUCCUAAGUAGCUGGGAGUACAGUUGUGCACCACCACGCCUGGCUACUUUUUGUAUUUUUAGUAGAGAUGGGGUUUCAUCAUGUUGCCCAGGCUCGUCUUGAACCCCUGACCUCAGAUGAUCCACCCUCCUCGGCCUCCCAAGGUGCUGGGAUUACAGGCGUGAGCCACCGUGCCUGGCCUUAUUUUUGAAUUAAUAAUGUUCUCAGCCAUUAGAGUGAUAUUUGGUGAGUAGGAGGGAGACUUUUUUCUUAGGUGAUCAAUGCUGGAGUUAUUAGGGGGAAACUGGUGGGAAGCCUGAAGUUAGCAAGCUCAGGGUCCAACCUCCACAUUUCAAAACUCAACUGAAGAAAAGAGACAGGACUGAGAAUGCCUAUUAACAAAACAGAAAAAUCAGCACAGCCAUGGCUGUGUGUUUGAAGGAACAAAAAUUAGACAAAUAUCUGGCAAGACUGAAUAAGGAAAAAAGAUCCACAGAUGAAUAAUGUAAAUGAAAAAAAUGAGUCAUAAUGACAAAUAACUCCCAGAUUUUGUAAUGCAAAAAGACAAGAUUUUCACGUCCAGUUAGCAUGAGGAAAGAGUGUGAAGCCAACCUUUCUAUUUCAACAAUGAGAAAAAAUGGAAUUAUGUACAAAAAUUAUCAUUUCUUUCAAAUGCAUUGGAAAAUGGUGGGUGCAAAUCUGAAGGAACUGCCAGUCUUGGGGGGCCCCUUUCUCGCAGUGGAGCUGAAUGGUGCUGAGGGCGGGUUAGUCAUCGGCAGAGCUCUACCUGCGGGGAGAGACUGAUGUUUCUUGGUUCUUUUGCAUAUAAUUUCUAGCACACUACCAAAAAUUAUAAGAAUUACAGGAGAGUGUGAUUUUCAACCAAGAGAUAAGCUAUUCAAUAGAAGCAGAUGCACAGAUAACCCAGAUGAAAGAAUUAGCAGACAAAUGCUUUACAAUAUUCUUGUAAAUACAUGAAAUGAGAUGGAGGAAAGGAUGAACAAAAUGGAUGAAAAGAUGGAGAAUUUCAACAGAGAGAUGAAAGCUAUGAAAGUAGGUGCUCAUUAUUUGUUAUUAAAAAUAAAAUAAAUAAUAAAAAUAAGUGUUUAUUAUAUUAACCAAUUAAUAUAAUACCUGAAAUUAAGAACUCAUUGGAUGGGCUUAAGAGCAGACUAAACAUAUAGUAGCAAAAAGGAUUGAUGAAGUUUCAGACAGGUCCAUAGAAAUUAUCCAAAAUAAAGCACAGAGAAAAGAUAGAAUUAAAAGUACACAAACACACACACCCACAUACACACAUGCACAGAGAGAGACAGAGACAGAGAGAAGAGGGCCAUAUGGUACUGAUCCAACUGUCUAACAUGUGUAUUGGAAUCCCAGGAGAAGGGUGAGAAUGGGAUAGGAGCAAUAUUAUUUUGAUGGAUAAUAGCCAAUUUUCCAAAAUUGGUAAGAGACAUUAACCCAAGAUUCAAUAGGCUUAUCAAACUCCAUGAAGUAUAAAACUGGAGAAAACCAUAUUUAGUCACAUCAUAAUCAAACUGCUGAAACUAAAGGAAAAGAGAAAAAUGUUAGCUGCAGCCAGGAGAAAAAAACACCUUAGCACUAGAGAACCCCGGGGACGACGGCUGUCUCCUCAAACAGGGACCCCGGGGACGACGGCUGUCUCCUCAAACAGGGACCCCGGGGACGACGGCUGUCUCCUCAAACAGGGACCACGAGGAUGAUGGCUGUCUCCUCAAACAGGAACCCCGGGGACGAUGGCUGUCUCCUCAAACAGGGACCCCGGGGACGACGGCUGUCUCCUCAAACAGGGACCCCGGGGACGACGGCUGUCUCCUCAAACAGGGACCCCGGGGACGAUGGCUGUCUCCUCAAACAGGAAUCCCGAGGACGACGGCUGUCUCCUCAAACAGGAGCCCUGGGGACAACGGCUGUCUCCUCGAACAGGAACCCCGAGGAUGAUGGCUGUCUUCUCAAACAGGAGCCCCGGGGAUGACGGCUGUCUCCUCAAACAGGGACCAUGAGGAUGAUGGCUGUCUUCUCAAACAGGAGCCCCGAGGACGACGGCUGUCUCCUCAAACAGGGACCCCGAGGACGAUGGCUGUCUUCUCAAACAGGAGCCCCGGGGACGACGGCUGUCUCCUCAAACAGGAGCCCCGGGGACGACGGCUGUCUCCUCAAACAGGAACCCCGAGGACGACGGCUGUCUCCUCAAACAGGGACCCCGAGGAUGAUGGCUGUCUUCUCAAACAGGAGCCCCGGGGAUGACGGCUGUCUCCUCAAACAGGAACCCCGAGGAUGACGGCUGUCUCCUCGAACAGGAGCCCCGGGGACGACGGCUGUCUCCUCGAACAGGGACCCCGAGGACGACAGCUGUCUCCUCAAACAGGGACCCCAAGAAUGACGGCUGUCUCCUCAAACAGGAACCCCGAGGACGACGGCUGUCUCCUCAAACAGGAACCCCGGGGACGACGGCUGUCUCCUCAAACAGGAACCCCGAGGACGACGGCUGUCUCCUCAAACAGGAACCCCGGGGACGACGGCUGUCUCCUCAAACAGGGACCCCGAGGACGACGGCUGUCUCCUCAAACAGGGACCCCGGGGACGACGGCUGUCUCCUCAAACAGGGACCCCGGGGACGACGGCUGUCUCCUCAAACAGGAACCCCGAGGACGACGGCUGUCUCCUCAAACAGGAACCCCGGGGAUGACGGCUGUCUCCUCAAACAGGGACCCCGGGGACGACGGCUGUCUCCUCAAACAGGGACCACGAGGACGACGGCUGUCUCCUCAAACAGGAAUCCCGAGGACGACGGCUGUCUCCUCAAACAGGGACCCCGGGGACGACGGCUGUCUCCUCAAACAGGAACCCCGAGGACGACGGCUGUCUCCUCAAACAGGAAUCCCGAGGACGACGACUGUCUCCUCAAACAGGGACCCCGGGGACGACGGCUGUCUCCUCAAACAGGGACCCCGAGGACGACGGCUGUCUCCUCAAACAGGAACCCCGAGGACGACGGCUGUCUCCUCAAACAGGAACCCCGAGGACGACGGCUGUCUCCUCAAACAGGGACCACGAGGACGACGGCUGUCUCCUCAAACAGGAAUCCCGAGGACGACGGCUGUCUCCUCAAACAGGGACCCCGGGGAGGACGGCUGUCUCCUCAAACAGGAAUCCCGAGGACGACGGCUGUCUCCUCAAACAGGGACCACGAGGACGACGGCUGUCUCCUCAAAGAGGAAUCCCGAGGACGACGGCUGUCUCCUCAAACAGGAACCCCGAGGACGACGGCUGUCUUCUCUAACAGGAGCCCCGGGGACGACGGCUGUCUCCUCAAACAGGAACCCCGGGGACGACGGCUGUCUCCUCAAACAGGGACCCCGAGGACGACGGCUGUCUCCUCAAACAGGAACCCCCAGAAUGACGGCUGUCUUCUCAAACAGGAACUUCGGAAGCCAGAAGCAGACACUGGACUCAUUCGAUCCCCAGGAGGGUGAGGAGUCCGAGGGCUGCUCUGAUUCGCUGAAGUUUGUCUGUGCACUAGCACCCUGGAAUGAGCAGUCUCCAGGCCAUGAAGACCUUGUCCCUGGUCCUGCUGGUGGCCCUGCUGAGCAUGGAGAGAGCUCAGGGUCUGCGCUGCUACAGAUGCUUGGCGGUCUUGGAAGGGGCCUCCUGCAGCGUGGUCUCGUGCCCCUUCCUGGAUGGGGUCUGUGUCUCCCAGAAAGUGAGCGUCUUUGGCAGUAAAGUGAGAGGGGAGAACAAGCUCUCCCUCCUCUCCUGCCAGAAGGACGUCGGAUUCCCCCUGCUGAAACUUACAAGUGCCGUUGUGGACUCCCAGAUCUCUUGCUGCAAGGGAGACCUCUGCAAUGCGGUGGUCCUGGCAGCCAGCAGCCCCUGGGCCCUGUGCGUACAGCUCCUGCUCAGCCUGGGGUCAGUCUUCCUCUGGGCCCUGCUGUGAGGGCCUUUCCCGCCCUCUCCCCCGCAGGCCUACCCUCUGUCCCUGUGCGUCACCAGCUGCUUGGUUUUGAAGAGCUGCCUCACUGAAUUGCAGGAAUUCUGGUGUGGCUUUUCAGCCAUGAGAUCAGGGGAAGGAUGUGGCCAGGGCAGAGGUCGGGGCUUCCCUGUCAGGGAACAUAUCCCUGCUUAAACUCCUUGUCCUCUGGGCCCAGGCCCUCCAGCCCAUGCCCCCCAACAACACCACUUUUUUCAGAGCUGGGCCUCAGAGACCAGGCCCCACCACUGGCUGCUUGGGACCUAGGGUCAUAGAGAAACCGUGGCCCAGGGCGGGAGUCCCCAGCUCCAUCCAGCUUGCCACUAACUUGCCGAGGAGCCAGGGCCAACCCCUCAGCUCUCUGGGCUACCUGAAUCCAAGCAAGGAGGGAACGUGGUCCCAGGGGGCCCUGCUGGCCUCCCACACAGGAUGAGGGCCUCCCUCUCAAGGUCAACAAACAGCCCUUUGCUGACCCACUCAGCGUCAGCACUCGGCUUCUUCCUCACCAUUCCUGAGGCCGCCCACCUGCCACUCUGACCUCAGGCCUCUGCAACAUCCUGCUGGCACCAUGGCCUUGGGGAGGUGCUCCUGGGGCACGGGUGCCCCCCCAGGGACCAGAACCCACAGAGUGCCAGGCUCAUGGCUCUUCUGGCAGAACUCUUGCCAUGUGGCUCCAGGGAACAUCUGAGUAGGGUUGUCAGAGAGCCUCUGGAUGGUCACCAAGAGGCAGAGCUCCUGCGGCCACCAGCCAUCCUGUGGUGUGGGCCAGGCCUGUCAUUUCUGUGCCCUGGCUAGGGCUCCCAUGAUGCCCCGUGUCAGGGGUUAGACUGGUCUCCCCUGGUGGUGGGAGAAAGGGGCUCCUUCAGGACUGCACUCUGGACAGAAAGUCAGGGCUGGGCUCAGAAUGGUCUGGGUGGACGGUCAUCUCAGCCUGGAGUCAGGGCUGGGCUGAGAACGCCCUGGGUGGACGGUCGUCUCAGCCUGGAGUCAGGGCUGGGCUGAGAACGCCCUGGGUGGACGGCCGUCUCAGCCUGGAGUCAGGGCUGGGCUGAGAACGCCCUGGGUGGACGGCCGUCUCAGCCUGGAGUCAGGGCUGGGCUGAGAACGCCCUGGGUGGACGGCCGUCUCAGCCUGGAGUCAGGGCUGGGCUGAGAACGCCCUGGGUGGACGGCCGUCUCAGCCUGGAGUCAGGGCUGGGCUGAGAACGCCCUGGGUGGACGGCCGUCUCAGCCUGGAGUCAGGGCUGGGCUCAGAACAGUCUGGGUGGACGGCUAUUGUCAGGGACCCCAAACAGAGGGACCGGCUGAAGCCAUGGAAGAAGAACAUAAAUUGUGAAGAUUUCAUGGACAUUUAUUAGUUCCCCAAAUUAAUACUUUUAUAAUUUCUUAUGCCUGUCUUUACUGCAAUCUCUGAACAUAAAUUGUGAAGAUUUCAUGGACACUUAUCACUUCCCCAAUCAAUACCCUUGUGAUUUCCUAUGCCUGUCUUUAAUCUUUUAAUCCCAUCAUCUUCGUAAGCUGAGGAGGAUGUAUAUUGCCUCAGGACCCUGUGAUGAUUGUGUUAACUGCACAAAUUGUUUGCAGAGCAUGUGUGUUUGAACAAUAUGAAAUCUGGGUACCUUGAAAAAAGAACAGGGUAACAGCAACGUUCAGGGAACAAGAGAGAUCACCUUAAACUCUGGUUGCCUGUGAGCCAGGUGAAACAGAGCCAUAUUUCUCUUCUUUCAAAAGCAAAUAGGAGAAAUAUCGCUGAAUUCUUUUUCUCAGCAAGGAACAUCCCUGAGAAAGAGAAUGUAUCCCUAAGGGGAGGCCUCUGAAAUGUCUGCUUUGGGGACGGCUGCCUUUUACAGUUGUAGAUAAGGGAUGAAAUAAGCCCCAGUCUCCCGCAGUGCUCCCAGGCUUAUUAGGAUGAGGAAAUUCCCGCCUAAUAAAUUUUGGUCAGACUGGUUGUCUGCUCUCAAACCCUGUCUCCUGAUAAGAUGUUAUCAAUGACAAUGUGUGCCCAAAACUUCAUUAGCAAUUUUAAUUUCGCCCCGGUCCCGUGGUCCUGUGAUCUCGCCCUGCCUCCGUUUGCCUUGUGAUAUCUUAUUACCUUGUGAAGCAUGUGAUCUCUGUGACCCACAUCCUAUUUGUACACUCCCUCCCCUUCUGAAAAUCACUAAUAAAAAUUUGCUGGUUUUACGGCUCAGGGGGCAUCACGGAACCUGCCGACAUGUGAUGUCUCCCCCGGACGCCCAGCUUUGAAAUUUC